rnacentral:misc_RNA from 1 species
AACCAUAGAAACCUGCGGAGUACCUGCGGAGGGAUCAUUACAGUAUAUGGAAUCUCCAUUCUAUAAACCCACUCUGCGUAUCUUGUAACUGUUGCUUCCAUGGGACUUGGUUCCGCCACACCGGCUUCACGGCUGGUGAGCGCCCAUGGAAGGAGAAACAAAACUCUUCUUUGAAAUGUAGUCAGUCUGAACAAGUUUUUAUAAACGUUAAAACUUUUAGCAACGGAUCUCAGAUCGGAA